CCUACGGGGGGCAGCAGUGAGGAAUAUUGGUCAAUGGGCGAGAGCCUGAACCAGCCAAGUCGCGUGAAGGAUGACGGCCCUACGGGUUGUAAACUUCUUUUGUCAGGGAGCAAUUGGGUCCACGCGUGGGCUUAGCGAGAGUACCUGAAGAAAAAGCAUCGGCUAACUCCGUGCCAGCAGCCGCGGUAAUACGGAGGAUGCGAGCGUUAUCCGGAUUUAUUGGGUUUAAGGGGUGCGUAGGCGGAAUAUCAAGUCAGCGGUAAAAAUUCGGGGCUCAACCCCGUCGUGCCGUUGAAACUGAUGGUCUUGAGUGGGCGAGAAGUAGGCGGAAUGGGUGGUGUAGCGGUGAAAUGCAUAGAUAUCACGCAGAACUCCGAUUGCGAAGGCAGCAUACCGGCGCCCAACUGACGCUGAAGCACGAAAGCGUGGGUAUCGAACAGGAUUAGAUACCCGAGUAGUC
rnacentral:rRNA from 1 species